CAUCCAUCCAUCCGGGGCGAGAGCUGCGCGAUAACACGCGCACGUAAGUUCACUGACUCAAACAGUAUCACUCGCUCGCUGUCUCCCCCCCCGAUAAAAACGUUACAAUAGUAAGCUGCAUCCUAGAAGCUGAAAGGUUUAAUGCGUGCUGAGUCCUGUGCCGGGUCGUCCGGCGGGGCGGGGCUGCGAGGGGCGGGGCUAAAGCGCCGCGUCACGCUGAACUCCUUUACCCCCGCGCGGUGUUUAGAGCGAGUCCCUCCAUCAGUGGCUGGAUCCGAGCCCAGCCUCUCCGCUCAUUGGACUGCGCAGCCGCGCCGCAUAGUCAGCCCAUGUGGCGUGGCCAGCGCGAUGUGACACAUUAUAAUUCACCGGAGACGAGAGGAGGAGGCUGUGAAGGAAACGCUCCCCUCACACUCACUGCAAACCACGGGGACGGACACACACACGUCCGCAGCUACACAACAGAGCACCGCCGGUAAGCUAACUCUGCUAAGUGUCGUUAGCUUCAUAAGAACGUAACACAAAACUGUGUGUUCGCUUGUUAUUCCCACCGGUGUGUCGCUGGGUUGUGUCCCGUCAGUCACGUGUCCUUGCGUUACACACCGGCUCAGCGGGACAUCGGACAUGUAAUCCGUGUUUCUGUGUCUUCCUGGUGGACAUAAUUGAUGUUCGUGGAAUGAAAACCGAUUAAACAGACUCGUAUCCCGCAUUGCAUUGUGGGAUGGAGAGCCUGGCCGGUGGUGUUCUGAUUCACAUGCUGCGCCCACCUGACCAGUGACGUCACGGGAGGCCUAGGUGGGUCCAGCAGGUGUCCCACCGAGCUCUGUGAGGGCUUUGCUGUGUGUUUGGAGGUUCUCUGGCACAGGAGACGUUGGUCCCACGUCGUGUGUUCUGACCCGAUACCUGCACUCAGGUACACCGGUACACCUGUCUCUGCAGUUGUCUCCAGCCUGUCUGGUCUUGAUGAGCUCAGCAGCCUGACAUCCGGAAUGCAGCCGUCCGCCUGCUGUGACAACAGGACGCGUUUUAGAAGCACGGAAUGUAGAUGAGCCGCCGUGUCGUAACCGCUCGCGUCACACAAGCGCAACUGAAUGUCCCAAGAAAACUGAGAAAGAGCCGUAACACGCGUGUGCGGAGUGACUGUGAUCGGGGUCAGCUGAGGCCGCGGCGUGUCCUCCUCAAGGUGCUACAUUGCUUCUAAUCCUCGGCUCGUGUGUCCUGCCAGAUCCCUGCAGCUACAGGCCUCCGUCCUACUGGUUCGUCCUGCUCAUGGGCGGGUUUGACCGUCGCUGUGCCGUUAUCACGGUGCAUUAUGGGAAGUGCAUAUUUUCUCAUACAGAUCACACAUUUCUCCAGAAUGCUGUGGCUCCAGAUCCCUGUGACGGAGUCUCAGGAGUGUGCUAGAUGACGGGAGGGUGUCUACUAUGAGACUCUGAGGCUCUGUCCCCAGCUGCGUGCCCAUGGGCCCGUGGGCCCGUCCCUGGCCUAGAAAGGGAACAAAGAGCAGGCAGUGCAGCGUGGCUGUGCUCCGCGGCGUACACAGGGCUGUUGUAAGUGCUCUCUCAUGCGUGCUCACAGGGACUCAAGUACGCGUGCUUCAGUUUCCACACAUCACGGCUGACGUUUGGAAGCACUUGGCUGGGCUACAUAUUUCUCCUCCCAUGUCCUCACUGGAUCUCUGCACACGGGUUCCACUGAUGACCGCUAGUCAGCCUCCGUAUCGGCCCACUGCAAAGACACACGUGCUACAGAUGCAGAAACAAAAGCCCACGUCGGCUCCAUCAGUUUCAGCUGGUCCUGAGCAAGGCUAAAGCCUGUAGGACGGGGGGUAGAGGACCUAAUGUCCCAGACAGGAUCACACGGGGCCGGUAGGAUGUUGUGACCGUGUUCUUGGCUCAUCCAUGUUCCACCUGCUUGUUGUUCCAUUGACGUACAUCCUCACGCUCUCUGUUCACAGUAACUCAGCAUGGACGAGAUCGUCAUCGCAGGGAUCUCGGGCCGUCUGCCCGAGUCCAACAACCUGGAGGAAUUCUGGGAAAACCUCAUCAAUGGCGUCGACAUGGUGACGGAGGACGACCGGCGGUGGACACCAGGUGAGCGUCCUCACAGGCUGCAUGAAACCCAGCUGGUAUCUGGGGAGGGUUUCCCACUAGUGGCAGGACGCUAGUUUUAAAUCACUACAUUAUAAUAUCUAUAUAUUAUUAAUAUUAAGUUGAACAGUGCAAAACAUAUUUCCACAUUUAACAGGGAGCUUUUCAAAUACGUUUACAUCCCACCUUUACAGGCACGGCAGCUCUGCCCCAACAUGCCCCCCGUGAUGGAUGUGGAUUUUCUUUGUUCUGAUCACUUUGAAUAAAAGCUGUUUGACGUGCAGGACGACCACAUUCCUCUCGCUGCAUAUCAGGGACCGACCUGCUCUGCUGGUUAGAGACACUCUGAGGACGGAGACGCCCUGUUGUUCCUCCCUGUGCUGGCUGCCAGUCCCCGGUCUGUCUCUUUGGGUAUCGCUGGUUUCCUGAAGCCCUCAUGCACGUACAUUUGCAAACGUAGCGUUCUCAGCGCCACAGCCGGCGUGCAGAGAGCGCUCGCUGUGACACUUUAGUUCACGCCGUAUUUACAUCAGGUGAUCAGCGCCUUUCUCCUCCCACUACGCCGCACAGCGCGAGCAUUUAAACGCGGCGUGAACGGACCUCCUUCUCUUUCUAUCACGGAUCAGAGAGAAGUCCAUGUGUUAUUUGCGUGGUGGGAGACGUGUGCGCUGUAGCAAAGCGUUGUGUACUUGUGCUGAGUGCAGACUGAGAUAUUCCCCCUGCUGAUGCUGUGACUGUCUGAAAUGAUCCUGGUCUAACCAUUGGAAUGUGGCUGCAGCGAUGGAAUGUGGACGCUGAGUAGGAGAUGCAAUGUCACCUUUGAUUUCUUCCAGUAACUGUAAUGUUGCUGCUUCAUCUGUAACGCGUCUUAUCGGCCUCUGUGGCUCUGAUGACUGCUGUCAUUUCACCAGGAGCCAAAUGGGAGGAAACCCGCAUUCUGCUUUUACAAGGCCGAUCAUUCUCACCGCCGCUUUACCCGUCCCCGCCCAUCGCUUUAUGGGACACUCCCCCUUCCCCCUGACGCUCCCGUCAAUGCAUAUUCAUGACACGGAAAAGCACGAUUAGCCUGUUUCAGUUUCCACCGUCUGCGCUUUCAGCUCCGUGCGGCUUGUUUGUAGAAACCUCGCUGUGCUGUAACGCACACGUUGCAGAACGAAAGUGUUCGUACACGAGACCCUCUGCCUCUUUGGUGCGCUGGGGGGGUCAGGGUUUGAACACAACGUAUGAUGCGUCAUCAUGCCGGUUUGCUUUUUCCUGUCUGACGAUUGAACCUAAUUUAGACUUGUAAGUUCUAUGCUAAUAACUGCUGUCUGUCCUGCGUUUACAUUCUUUAUGUGUUAGUUCUAUAAAGAUCCAUAUGUCAGUGCGUUCUGUCUGAGUUGAUCUCAGACGGUUACCAUGACGAUCUGCGCUGUCAGGAAGUGAACCUCAGCGUCCCUCAAAGCAUUCUCUGCUGUGGUUCAGAGUGCUGCUGUAGCAGCGUGCACAGAGACCCGAUUCAGAGCAGCAACGGCCGCUUGCAUGCAUCUGAUUGGCCGGUGUGGGCCGGGUGCUUGCAUGCAUCUGAUUGGCCGGUGUGGGCCGGGUGCUUGCAUGCAUCUGAUUGGCCGGUGUGGGCCGAGCCCUUUGUUACUGACGGGACUCGUAUGAAUGAGGAGGAUUCUCACACUGGUCGUCCUCCAAACGACCCUUCGCUGUUUCAUUGUGUUAUUGGUGCACCUCAUGUCACUGCUGUCCCACUACCCCCCUCCAGGUUGCAGUUAUUUCCCC
ensembl:lncRNA